rnacentral:rRNA from 1 species
GUGCCAGCCGCCGCGGUAAGACGAACCGUGCAAACGUUGUUCGGAAUCACUGGGCUUAAAGGGCGCGUAGGCGGGCCGCCAAGUCUGUGGUGAAAGCCUCCAGCUCAACUGGAGAAGUGCCGUGGAUACUGGCGGCCUCGAGGAGGGUAGGGGCAUCUGGAACAGUAGGUGGAGCGGUGAAAUGCGUUGAUAUCUACUGGAACUCCGGUGGCGAAGGCGAGGUGCUGGACCCUUUCUGACGCUGAGGCGCGAAAGCCAGGGGAGCAAACGGGAUUAGAUACCCCCGUAGUCC